UUUUAUUUUUUUUUUCCUCCGUUUCUAGGUUGAAAAUGCCGCGCAAGGGGGGGGCGGGGGAGGGGUUGCAGGAGGUGUUUUGCAUUGAGGGUGAGGAUGAGGAGGGAGCUGAGGCUGCGGGUUGGGGGAGAGGAAGGGAUUUCCCCCCCCCUCCCCCCCAUCCAUGUGGCCGCAGCCCCGGGGGGGUCGGAGAGAGCGCAAUUUUUAACGAUAUCCUUUUGAAAAUCCCAAUUUGAGCAGCGAACAGAGCGAGGGGGGGAGGAGUGUUCGGGGGGGGUCUGAGGGGGUCCGGGGGGGUGGUCGGAAUGGAAAUUGCGCGGAGCGGCCGCGCUUUUUAAUGCCAUCCUUUUGAAAUGCCAAUUGACGCAGAGAUAAGCGCAGAGGGAGCGGCGCAGCGCCGCCUUUCCGCUCCCCCCCCAACUCUCCCCCCUCCCAUCCCGGUGCCCCCGGAAGGGAUUCCGGCUUUAAAACCACAACAACAGCAACGAGAGGGGAGGAAAAAGGAAAGGAAAAAGGAAAGCGGCGCUCGGACCGCGGCCAUAAGGACCCAUAAUGGGGGAUUUGCGCGUUUUCUUCCUGCGCGGAACCGCAGCGCAGCUCUGGGGGCGAAGACGGCGGAAUUUUGGGUGCAAAUCUUCAAGAUUUGGGGCGAUUUUGGUAAUUGGAAUCAUUGCGAUCCCCGGGGGGGGCGCGCUGGGGGCGGAGCGCAGGGCGGAAACGCUGCGCGGAUUUGGGGUCACUUCGGGGCGUUCGGUGCGGGGAAAUCGAAGCGGGGGGGGGGAUUGGGGUGCGGGGGGGCUCAAAGCAGCCGGAGAUCCGCUGUGCGGGGAGGGGGUCGGUAGGAAAUGGACCUUUGGGAGCGCACGUGCGUGAGUGUGAGUGUGAGUGUGAGUGUCUCUCGCGUUCUUUCGGGGUAAUUUGGGGGUCAUUAUUUGUUUAUUUUUUGUAUUUUUUUAUUAUUAUUCUUAAUGGGUAUAAAAUCCGAAAGGCGCCGAGGAAAAUAAGUGGUGGGUGUGCGCGUAAUUAUAGGGAGAG
ensembl:lncRNA